rnacentral:rRNA from 1 species
UACGUAGGGUGCAAGCGUUAAUCGGAAUUACUGGGCGUAAAGCGUGCGCAGGCGGUAAUGCAAGACAGAUGUGAAAUCCCCGGGCUUAACCUGGGAACUGCAUUUGUGACUGCAUUGCUGGAGUGCGGCAGAGGGGGAUGGAAUUCCGCGUGUAAGCAGUGAAAUGCGUAGAUAUGCGGAGGAACACCGAUGCGAAGGCAAUCCCUGGGCCUGCACUGACGCUCAUGCACGAAAGCGUGGGGAGCAAACAGG